GUCACCACCUGUGGCAAAGAUUAGCAGGGACUACAAGGUUGUUGUCGGAUGCUCAGGAAUGCAGCGGGAGUUCGCCUGUUCUCGGCUUCCUGUUCGGAGUUGUAUAGUGCCACCCCUGUCGACUCCACCAGCAGCGGGAUCCAGGUCCCCCCUGACCUCUUCCUUUGUACUUGGUUGACAAAAACCACUAAGCAAUCCUCAUAGUUCAAAAGUGCUUCAGGUCCAACUCCAGGAUAUUUGAUUCAGUACUCAGUUUCAGUUCCAAGUUUCAGUGCUUCAGAAAUAUUGGUUUUGGUAAUCAGCUUGCCGAGAUGGUACCUGGACAUAAUUUACUUGCGUGCUAUAGCGUGUAGAAAAUUGUCUAGUUAAAUUGAUCAGUGUACAAUCUCUCGCUAAUAGCAUAUUUUCAGAGGCCACGCUAUUUUGUAUAGCACGCUAUUCAUUAGAUCUAUCUACUCCUGUAUUUUCAGUCAAAAAAUACACUAUAUGUUACUAUGCUAUAUUUCCUAAGUUAUGUAUAGAACCUCUGCCUAUAUACUUGGAUCACCGGAUUGUUCAAUUCUUUUUAUGCAACAAAACUAUAGAAUUACUACUUAUCAUUGCAGUGUCGUGUUCUGUGUAUACCAAUAUCUCUACCACUAUAAUACACCAUUCUUGAAAUUGGAUUCACCACCCACUUGCUUUUUAGUCUGCUUCGGUACUGAUCACCUCGACUAAUGAACUAAUAGCCAAGAUACAGUGCAGAGAGUAAACUUGCUGGGUGAUACAUGAGAGCAUUUAUAUAAUGGUCGGUUCUAUCAAGUUUUUUACCAAUUUAUACUGAAUUAAACUUCUUGAUAUGGCGACAGGGUCUCCAGUGUACAUGAUUAUCGAUUAAAUUUGUAUAUAAACUUCUUCCAAUUUGUUCAAUUGUAAGCCUAGUGAUGUAACAAUGAACGUUGAUUGUAUUGUUCUGCUCUUGGUUAGUACAAGAAAUGCUUGAGUUGUCAAUCAGGAAGAACUUCAAUUCUUCAAGCAAUAACUCUAUACUGGGCUUUCAAAUAAGUUGGACUGUAGAUAAUGUCCAGAUUUGUGACCAUUGAUGCUUAUGCUUUCUUCUUCAUCUUCUGGUGAGGAAGAAGGGAAAACGCUGGAGCCAAUAGUUGUUUAGUGGGACUAUGUUCUGAAUUGACAAAGCUAAAGGAAGCACAUGCCAUCUAUCUCUCAUAUUGGUUAUUUGGAUGGUGAGAAAUCACCAUGCCUAGCUAUUGAGAUUAGCUUGUUCUGAUAAAAAAAAUCAAUGCAAGGAAGGAAACAGAAUAUGGGCAUUGCAACUAUAGAAUGGUGAUUAGAUAUUCUUGAUGGAGAGGCAUAGAUUUCUAAUGUCGGUCUUUGAUAGAGUUCACAUAUGGCUGCAGUUUUUGCGACUACGGAAUUGUGAUUGGAUAUUCUCGAGUAUUCAGUUCUUCGGUACUGUUAAUCGAACAUACACUGGAAGUCAAAUUUCCAGGUAAAUCUGAUCAAGACUACUAGAUGAUUUUGCUAAAAAAAAGACUACUAGAUGAUCCAAAUGGAGGAUUAUUUCACUUUCAGACCCACUUUGUAAUUGUACAUCAUUGUCUUACCACAGAAGUUUAGAUGGACAUAGUAUCCAGGAUACCAACUAUUUGGAACUCCUCUCUACAAAAAAGGCUUAAGGGGAUUGGUAACUGGAGUUCAGAGCAUAAAAUUAUUCUAAUUGCCAUGCCUACAGUAUUGUCUACACAGAUUUGAGAGAGGAAUAGAUGGAUAGAUGAGCAAUGGACCAUUAAAGUUGCUUUCCAUGGUUCUCUUCGGGACCAUUGCAAAAGGUGGUUUUGUUUGGAUAAAGGUCAUCAAGCUAAGCUGGUGAUUCUGUGAUAGUGGUGUGCUCUCAUAAAUAUUAUGUGUUUCCAGGAAGAUGAAUCCUUUUCGAAUAGGGACCAGGUUACUUGUAUUGCAUAUUGAUGGAUUUCUUGCAAGCUUGUACGCCAGAUUUUAUUUCAACUGUAUGUAUUCUUUUCUUUGACAAGAGGGUAUGUAUUCUGGACAAAUUCUGUUAGAUUAAAUGGUUGGUCCGAUCCAUGUGUAAUCAUGUAUUAUUUGGGAUGAGACUUGUAUUUUUAGUCAGUAUAAUUUUAUAAUGGAUUGAACAUAUUCCUGUAAUUUUGAACUGUGAAACACAUAGAAGUUAGUUAAUUUUGGUAGUAUUUGUGGCUUGUUGUGCUCACCCCAGAGGCAUCGCAGAAGCUUGCCCAUAUUUCUGAACUGAUGUCAUCCUUGCUAUGACAAUUCUUGAUCUUGGGCCACAUCAGAUUCAUAUGUUUUGUGAAUCGGUGGGUCAUAUAACUGAAAAUCUAAUGAUACCAAGAGUCUAAGAGAGACGAAUACCUGAAGAGAUUGAUGAGCCUUCCUAAUCAGGUUCCCUUCUAGCAUGCAUUUUUACCUUCUUUAUCAUUUCUCUUAAGGAUAGUCUUUACAAGGUUAUCUUGUGAUCAGUUUGAUUUGAAAAAAAUGGGCUGAAAUAAUUGGACAGGCGGGCCAAAGCAUUGAUAUCCUGAAGAAGCACAAUGUUAUCAGAUCUCUUCUUAACAUUUUGCAGCAGCGGUGAGGUGGGGUCGCCGGUGACGACGAGGAAGGCUGGCGGUGAGGUGGGGGUCGCCGGUGACGACGAGGAAGGCCGGCGGCGAGGUGGGGGUCGCUGAUGACUACGAGGAAGUCCGGAGCGCUGAUUCCCUGGCGGAUCCAUGGAGUUUGCGGCUCCUAGGCUGAAAGGAAGGGAGGUGAGGGAGAGAAGGAGGGAGUAAGGAGGGGUAGUGCAGCGACCUAGGCAGGAGCUCGCUGGAGCCGGGCGAUGGCGGACGGGCGCGGGAGACGGAGGGAUCCGGUGCAGCGGCGCGAAGUCCUUGCAGGUGGCGCACCUCGGCUUUCAUCAAGGCCGCCGCCGCCGCCUGCCUGAGGCAGAGGAGGAUCUCCUGGUGGUGCGCCCACUGCUGAUGGUGCUCGGCGAGGACAGGAACUGGUAGGGGCUGAGCAGGACCGAUGGUAUACUCCAGGUUUUUGGUCCGUCGCCAACUCUAUGUUUAGGGUCGUGGUUCUAAUCCCUCUCUUGCCGCUCGACUGUGCUUUAGGGGACCUUCCGCUGUUUUGAUUUAGCUUGCUUAAGGAAUUCAAGUACGGACGUGGAGCAGCAGAUGGAUACAUGUUAGCCAACACAAAAAUUGCACACGGCAAGUCUGAGAUCUUCCACUUGCUACUCACUCUUGUCAAGACAUUAGGUGGUUAUAAGACUGUCAUAGGUGAAGUGUUGGGGAAGUAUAACAAGGCUCAGGUGCAUUAGGUUCUUCCAAUUCCUUCUGCAUAUGCCAAAGUACUUCAGUCGGUUGCCCAAAAUAAGCAAGUCUACCUUAAGGCAUGAAUUUGUUAUACUUCAGGUGGCACCAAAAGUUCCCUCACAAACUUUCACUAUUUUCAUUGCAGCAAGGCCAUUGUCCAUCUCCAGAGAAGCGCAAGACCUAUAGCCCACUAGAUAAGGCUAUUGAGGGGCCAUCUAAAAUAGAUAGCUGCUUAUGGGUUGUUGUGUUUCUUUGUACAUCUUACAAUUGUUAAUGCAUUUUUUGGUUGAUGCACAUCUAAUUUUAGUGGUAUAGAUUUUGUACACGUUGCAGUGCACAUGCUAAUGUGGGUUCUGAUUUUUGUGCAGAUUAAGUGAUCAGUGUCAGGCGCUAUUGUGUGUUUGACAACAACACUACUGAUGUGGCACAAUCUGCCGGGAUGAAGCGGCAGAUGCCAUCGCAAGUGUUUGCACAUGAUGCAGCAAUAGACAAAGCAUAUCAAGAUGCACUGUCCUAGGCUCCUAGCUGUUGAAAGGUUCAUGCAGCUCCAAGUGUUCUUGACCCAUGAAGUAGCAGACUAGCAGCCACAUACAUAUGUUUACUCUGCAUGGAGAUUCAGUAUGCAUAUAUCAAGAACAUAUAUCAGUCCACAGAAUAGGGGCGGAUCUGACAAUGUUAUUCCCGUUUUCUGGCAACAAUCAGAGGGACUGCUAAGCUCUUCGGCAUAUCCGCAGUCAAUCUGGUAGCAAAAGCAGUUGCAAAGGAAAGUUGACUACACUGACAAAAAAAUAUGUUUUGCUUUAUUCUAUUCAGAACUAUACUACAUUAUAUCUUUAGACUGGGACACCGAUGUAUAGACCAUCAUUUUUUAGUACUUUGAAGAGGUUCAUGGCAAAAGAUAAAGUUUGAGAUGUACAUGGCAUAACUCUCACCUUUGAGGUUCUUCAGGACAGUUCAAGAUUACAUUCAAGGAGAGAAUGUAGCCAUGGUGACACAAAUAAAGUGUAGCAACUGCCACCAUUGCAGGAGAGGAGUAGUCGGGGCCUAUCAUACCAUGUAACGACUUGAAGGCUUCCACGCGCCACCUCCUUCUCCCCCUCCUGCGCCGAGUCGAGAACGGAGCAGCGACAAAGCAGAGGUAGACAUGGACACGUGGUAGGAGCCAAGGGGGGAACGGGGAAAGGCGGACGCUAGCUCUGGAAUCAGCUGUGUCAGCCGCUGCCAGUGCCACCGUGUCCCGCCUCAGCCUAGCCUGGUCGCAACAAAAGUAUGGCUGCAGGUGUAGUUCAUUCAGUUUUGCAGUUCGAUUUACUUGCUUGUGCAUAUGUGCGUGUAUACUGAGAGAGAGGGAGAGAUUAUUCUGUUCUAGCAGUCGUAUUUAUGUGACAAAUCUGCUCCCCUCCACUCUUUUUUGAUUUGCCUGAAAUCUGAAUGUGAAAAGCAGUUGCAAGUUGA